CCUANGGGUGGCUGCAGUAACGAAUCUUCCGCAAUGCACGAAAGUGUGACGGAGCGACGCCGCGUGUGGGACGAAGUCCUUCGGGAUGUAAACCACUGUCAGGGGUUAGAAAGUUCUGAUCAACCCCAGAGGAAGGCACGGCUAACUCUGUGCCAGCAGCCGCGGUAAGACAGAGGUGCCAAGCGUUAGGCGGAAUCACUGGGCUUAAAGCGUGUGUAGGUGGAUGUCUAAGUACCUUGUGAAAUCCCACGGCUCAACCGUGGAACUGCUGGGUAUACUGGAUGUCUUGAGCCAACUAGGGGCAGCCGGAACAAACGGUGGAGCGGUGAAAUGCGUAGAUAUCGUUUGGAACGCCAACGGUGAAAACAGGCUGCUGGGGUUGUACUGACACUGAGACACGAAAGCCAGGGGAGCAAACGGGAUUAGAUACCCCANUANUC
rnacentral:rRNA from 1 species